rnacentral:rRNA from 1 species
UACGUAGGGGGCGAGCGUUGUCCGGAUUUAUUGGGCGUAAAGAGCUCGUAGGCGGCUAUCGAAGUCGGGUGUGAAAUCCCCAGGCUUAACCUGGGAACUGCAUUCGAGACUGCAUUGCUAGAGUAUGGGAGAGGGAAGUGGAAUUUCCGGUGUAGCGGUGAAAUGCGUAGAUAUCGGAAGGAACAUCAGUGGCGAAAGCGACUUCCUGGACCAAUACUGACGCUCAUGUGCGAAAGCGUGGGGAGCAAACAGG